ensembl:lncRNA
AUGAGGUUGCACUCCCCCAGCCCCUAUUGCCCUCAGCUGAGCCUCCCUCGUCUCUGGGGCUGCUGUGUGUCUUGGGACAGGAUGAGGAGGAUUUUCAUGGCCACUGUUGCGUUCAUGUGCAGGUUGAGGUUACUCAGGGGUCUCCGCAUGCCUGCCCGCCCAGGUGUCUCCCCAGAGCUUCUCCCCAGCUCCCAGCCCUGCCCCUGCCCCACAGCGGAAGGGCUGAGGCGGGAAAAAGAAAAUGGCCUCCUGAGAGAAACAUGGAGCCCGGUGCUGCUGCGCAGGUUACCAGCUAUGCACGGCACCUCUGAAGUAAAUAAGGCCAAAAAGAGAAGAAGAAAUAGGAUGAAAGCCCACCAAAAUAAAGUACAGGGGAAGCAUGACAUGGCCAUCCCUGAAGAGGCAAGAGAAGUGCUCACACUGGCCUGGCAGAUGGUACAGGGCAGCAGCACACAGGAGGAGCAGCUGCAGCACUUGGAGGAUCACAGCGUCAGGGGAAGAAGCAGCUGAGCAAAAGGAUCCUAGGGCACUUCCUAAGAUACAUGCUUCUAACUCAUAAACUUUGACAAUUGAGACAAGAGAGAGCAGAUGCAAGUUGUCU